rnacentral:rRNA from 1 species
UACGUAGGGUGCGAGCGUUGUCCGGAAUUAUUGGGCGUAAAGAGCUUGUAGGCGGUUUGUCGCGUCUGCUGUGAAAAUCCGGGGCUCAACUCCGGAUCUGCGGUGGGUACGGGCAGACUAGAGUGCAGUAGGGGAGACUGGAAUUCCUGGUGUAGCGGUGAAAUGCGCAGAUAUCAGGAGGAACACCGGUGGCGAAGGCGGGUCUUUGGGCCGAUACUGACGCUGAGGAGCGAAAGCAUGGGUAGCGAACAGG